AGAGUUUGAUCCUGGCUCAGGAUGAACGCUAGCUACAGGCUUAACACAUGCAAGUCGCGGGGCAGCAUGAAGGAUGCUUGCAUCCUUUGAUGGCGACCGGCGCACGGGUGAGUAACGCGUAUCCAACCUGCCUGUUACCACGGCACAGCCCGUCGAAAGGCGGAUUAAUGCCGUAUGUGGUCCUUUGCGGGCAUCUAAUUAGGACUAAAGGUUCAGCGGUAACGGAUGGGGAUGCGUCCGAUUAGCUAGACGGCGGGGUAACGGCCCACCGUGGCUACGAUCGGUAGGGGUUCUGAGAGGAAGGUCCCCCACACUGGAACUGAGACACGGUCCAGACUCCUACGGGAGGCAGCAGUGAGGAAUAUUGGUCAAUGGGCGAGAGCCUGAACCAGCCAAGUAGCGUGCAGGAAGACGGCCCUAUGGGUUGUAAACUGCUUUUAUAAGGGAAUAAAGUGAGUCUCGUGAGACUUUUUGCAUGUACCUUAUGAAUAAGGACCGGCUAAUUCCGUGCCAGCAGCCGCGGUAAUACGGAAGGUCCGGGCGUUAUCCGGAUUUAUUGGGUUUAAAGGGAGCGCAGGCCGUCCUUUAAGCGUGCUGUGAAAUGCCGCGGCUCAACCGUGGCACUGCAGCGCGAACUGGAGGACUUGAGUACGCACGAGGUAGGCGGAAUUCGUGGUGUAGCGGUGAAAUGCUUAGAUAUCACGAAGAACUCCGAUUGCGAAGGCAGCUUACCGGAGCGCAACUGACGCUGAGGCUCGAAAGCGCGGGUAUCGAACAGGAUUAGAUACCCUGGUAGUCCGCGCGGUAAACGAUGGAUGCCCGCCGUUGGGAUUUGGAUUUCAGCGGCCAAGCGAAAGCGUUAAGCAUCCCACCUGGGGAGUACGCCGGCAACGGUGAAACUCAAAGGAAUUGACGGGGGCCCG
rnacentral:rRNA from 1 species